rnacentral:rRNA from 1 species
GUGUCAGCAGCCGCGGUAAGACGGAGGAGGCAAGCGUUGUCCGGAAUCAUUGGGCGUAAAGAGCGCGUAGGCGGUUUUUCAAGUCGUAUGUGAAAACUUCAGGCUUAACCUGAUGAUUGCAUAUGAAACUGGAUAACUUGAGUACAGCAGAGGAAAGUGGAAUUCCUGGUGUAGCGGUGAAAUGUGCAGAUAUCAGGAAGAACACCAGUAGCGAAGGCGGCUUUCUGGGCUGUUACUGACGCUGAGGCGCGAAAGCUAGGGGAGCGAACAGGAUUAGAUACCCUGGUAGUCCUAGCCGUAAACGAUGGACACUAGGCGUGGGAAGUUAUCGACGCUUUCUGUGCCGAAGCUAACGCAUUAAGUGUCCCGCCUGGGGAGUACGGCCGCAAGGCUAAAACUCAAAUGAAUUGACGGGG